rnacentral:lncRNA from 1 species
AACAGUUCAAAGCAAGGGAUUCAUGUGUUAUACGCCAUACUUGUGCAAAUAAAAACAGUCGAUUUAUAUAUCUGUGUUCGAUAUCAGUUUGACCACAUCAAUGAUAAUUUAUGGUAACACAGAUUUGUAAAUAGGAUGAUGACGAAAAGGAGGAGGAUGCAGUGGCGAAUUAUAUGCAUAUUCGGGUUGAAAGCAUGUUAAUACAAUUUUAUUAUUAAUCUUGCUUUGUACAAGACUGAAAUGCUGCGUCGAUUGUUUA